rnacentral:rRNA from 1 species
AUUGAACGCUGGCGGCAUGCUUUACACAUGCAAGUCGAACGGCAGCGCGGGCUUCGGCCUGGCGGCGAGUGGCGAACGGGUGAGUAAUACAUCGGAACGUGCCCAGUAGUGGGGGAUAGCUCGGCGAAAGCCGGAUUAAUACCGCAUACGACCUGAGGGUGAAAGCGGGGGAUCUUCGGACCUCGCGCUAUUGGAGCGGCCGAUGGCAGAUUAGCUAGUUGGUGGGGUAAAGGCCUACCAAGGCGACGAUCUGUAGCUGGUCUGAGAGGACGACCAGCCACACUGGGACUGAGACACGGCCCAGACUCCUACGGGAGGCAGCAGUGGGGAAUUUUGGACAAUGGGCGAAAGCCUGAUCCAGCAAUGCCGCGUGUGUGAUGAAGGCCUUCGGGUUGUAAAGCACUUUUGGCGGGAACGUAAAGGACUGUGCCAAUACCACGGUUCGAUGACGGUACCCGCAGAAUAAGCACCGGCUAACUACGUG